rnacentral:rRNA from 1 species
GAUGAACGCUGGCGGCGUGCCUAACACAUGCAAGUCGAACGGAGAUUACGGACGGAAGUUUUCGGAUGGAAGACUGUAAUUCUUAGUGGCGGACGGGUGAGUAACGCGUGGGCAACCUGCCCUAUACAGGGGGAUAGCAGCUGGAAACGGCUGGUAAGACCGCAUAAGUCGGCGAGACCGCAUGGUUUUGCCGGGAAAUGAGCAAUCAGGUAUAGGAUGGGCCCGCGUCCGAUUAGCCAGUUGGCAGGGUAAAAGCCUACCAAAGCAACGAUCGGUAGCCGGACUGAGAGGUCGGACGGCCACAUUGGGACUGAGACACGGCCCAAACUCCUACGGGAGGCAGCAGUGGGGGAUAUUGCACAAUGGAGGAAACUCUGAUGCAGCGACGCCGCGUGAGUGAAGAAGUAUUUCGGUAUGUAAAGCUCUAUCAGCAGGGAAGAUGAUGAUGGUACCUGACUAAGAAGCCCCGGCUAACUACGU